rnacentral:sRNA from 1 species
CGGCCGCGAGGUGGCCAUGAAGAUCCAGUACCCUGGUGUGGCCCAGAGCAUCAACAGUGAUGUCAACAACCUCAUGGCCGUGCUGAACAUGAGCAACAUGCUUCCAGAAGGCCUGUUCCCCGAGCACCUGAUCGACGUGCUGAGGCGGGAGCUGGCCCUGGAGUGUGACUACCAGCGAGAGGCCGCCUGCGCCCGCAAGUUCAGGUGUGGCCCCCGGCCGGGCCCCUUGCGUGUUUGCACCAGGGAGGCAGAAGGGACCAUGUUCAGCAGCUGGUGAAGGCCCCUCCAGCUCUGAGGGGCAGAGGGCUGGGGUUGCAGCCUGGGCCGAGGCCAUAUCCUGCCUGGGGUGAAGGAGGGCCCUCUGCCUGGUUGGGGGGGUGUGUGUGGGGGGGGGGACGGUGUGGAGGGCCUGUGGCUAGGGCGUGACCUCCCUCCCCUACCCAGGGACCUGCUGAAGGGCCACCCCUUCUUCUAUGUGCCUGAGAUUGUGGAUGAACUCUGCAGCCCACAUGUGCUGACCACAGAGCUGGUGUCCGGCUUCCCCUUGGACCAGGCCGAAGGGCUCAGCCAGGAGAUUCGGAACGAGAUCUGCUACAACAUCCUGGUUCUGUGCCUGAGGGAGCUGUUCGAGUUCCACUUCAUGCAAACAGACCCCAACUGGUCCAACUUCUUCUAUGACCCCCAGCAGCACAAGGUGGCUCUUUUGGAUUUUGGGGCAACGCGGGAAUAUGACAGAUCCUUCACCGACCUCUACAUUCAGAUCAUCAGGGCUGCUGCUGACAGGGACAGGGAGACUGUGCGGGCGAAAUCCAUAGAGAUGAAGUUCCUCACCGGCUACGAGGUCAAGGUCAUGGAAGACGCCCACUUGGAUGCCAUCCUCAUCCUGGGGGAGGCCUUCGCCUCCGAUGAGCCCUUUGAUUUUGGCACCCAGAGCACCACCGAGAAGAUCCACAACCUGAUUCCCGUCAUGCUGAGGCACCGUCUCGUCCCCCCACCCGAGGAAACCUACUCCCUGCACAGGAAGAUGGGGGGCUCCUUCCUCAUCUGCUCCAAGCUGAAGGCCCGCUUCCCCUGCAAGGCCAUGUUCGAGGAGGCCUACAGCAACUACUGCAAGAGGCAGGCCCAGCAGUAGGGCUGCGGGCCACGCCCAGGCCGGCUCCGCGGGAACUCUCUCCCUCAGACAGGCCAAAAACCAGUAGCGAGGUGGUGGUGAUGCUCUUUUUAACUCCUUUGCCCAAUAAGGGGGGUGGCUGCCUGGAGCCCCAUAGCCAGCGCUUUCCACGGUUUCUGUUGCUAAAUGGUUGUAGGGUGAGAAGUGCAAGAAUGAAGAUGAAGCCCCACUGCUCGGUCAGUCUGCCUCCGUGUGUCCUCUGAAAUAAGCAGAUGAAGAUGAAAGGGCAACUUUGUUUUCUUCUUUUUCCUGAUGUGAAUGUUAAGCAGAAGGGAGAGAGUCCUGACUCCCUUCCAAUCUCUGUUCAGUGCAAAACCCAGUAACAUGAACAGAUACGAUUGUGGGAUUUUAUCAUCUGUGUAGUAGGUGUGUGUAUGUGUUUCUAGAGUGAGAUUUGUGUUUUCUGCCCUUUUCCUCUCCAGCCGAUGGGCUGGAGCUGGGAGAGGUGCUGAGCUAACAGUGCCAACAAGUGCUCCUUAAGCCUGCGAGGCCCAGGCCUGUGGGGCUGGCUCUCACCUUUGACAGCUGAAUGUUCCUAAAGAACUGCUGCCCCACAGUGAGGGUGGGAGCAGCGGAACAGGGAAUGCCAGACACAGGCUCGCUGCUGCUGGAAGGCGGGGUGGGACUUCCUUCCUCUGUCCGGAGAGGCACAGGUGUCACCAGUUCCAGCCAAAGGCUCCUCACAGGCGCUGUGAAUUUUUGUACAAGUCUUGUAAUUAUCGAAUCAACAACUUGUUUCAAUUUAAUAAAAAUGCUCAUGGGAAGUGC